UGAGGAAUAUUGGUCAAUGGGCGAGAGCCUGAACCAGCCAAGUAGCGUGCAGGAUGACGGCCCUAUGGGUUGUAAACUGCUUUUAUGUGGGGAUAAAGUGCGUGACGUGUCAUGCAUUGCAGGUACCACAUGAAUAAGGACCGGCUAAUUCCGUGCCAGCAGCCGCGGUAAUACGGAAGGUCCGGGCGUUAUCCGGAUUUAUUGGGUUUAAAGGGAGCGUAGGCUGUCUAUUAAGCGUGUUGUGAAAUUUACCGGCUCAACCGGUGGCUUGCAGCGCGAACUGGUCGACUUGAGUACACACAACGUAGGCGGAAUUCAUGGUGUAGCGGUGAAAUGCUUAGAUAUCAUGACGAACUCCGAUUGCGCAGGCAGCUUACUGUAGCAUAACUGACGCUGAUGCUCGAAAGUGCGGGUAUCAAACAGG
rnacentral:rRNA from 1 species